GACGUAGGGCGCGAGCGUUGUCCGGAUUUAUUGGGCGUAAAGAGCUCGUAGGCGGCUUGUUGCGUCAGCUGUGAAAACCCGCAGCUCAACUGUGGGCUUGCAGCUGAUACGGGCAGGCUUGAGUUCGGUAGGGGAGACUGGAAUUCCUGGUGUAGCGGUGAAAUGCGCAGAUAUCAGGAGGAACACCUGUGGCGAAGGCGGCCAUCUGGACAACUACUGACACUGAGACGCGAAAGCGUGGGUAGCAAACAGG
rnacentral:rRNA from 1 species